UCUGGAAAAGGAAAUAUUAAAAGAAACAGUGCUUUGUAUGAGAUAAGCAGAAGAAAACUGAGAAACUUUUCUAUUAAACUCUGUACACACAAGCAUGCAGCUGUGAGUAUGCAUAAUCUGGUUAUUGUUUACUUUUUUGAAUUGCUUUUGAUGAUGGAGAGACAACUUUUCAGGGCCUCCAGCACACACAAACUCCAUGGAUUUCAGGUCAUGAUGAAUGAUGAAGCUGCUGCAUAGCAGUUAAGAAUAUCUACCUGGAUUGCCUUCCAAAGCAGAUGCUUAGGAAAUAUUUUUAAUGAAAACAUUUUUUUUUUUUUACUCUUUAAACUAGCCUGACCAAAUGAGCUGGCUGUGACAGACUCACUGCUUCAUUUGUGUGUGUCAACUCUUACUGGUUGUGUGGGGGUGCGAGAUGGGUCCUUAAUGGAUGUGUCACACCUGAUCACUGUUUGCUGUCCCUUUACAGCUCAGCUCUGAAAUUAAUGCAAACAACAUAAUGUAGAGUACUGCCCAUUGCUGUGCAUAUGGAUGCAGUGUUUAUCUUCUACUCAAAGUAGGAGACACUGAUGAUUCUGAUCCUGGAUUGCAUGUUAUUUACUUUUUGUAUUAUUUAAGAGAGGUUGGCAGCAACUCAAAAAAUUGAGCAAAAAUUGUAAAAAAUUUGACAAGUGUUCUCAAAGCCCUGUACACUGAAAAUCUCAAUGUUUUGACCUAAAAUGGUUGGUUUUGUUAUAUGCCUCUCUAGUGAAAUCCCAUUCAGCAACAAAUACCUAUUAUUUUGCUUUCCACAUGUUGCUGGGGGCCUAAUCUCUGAAUUUCCCAGAAGAAAACCUACCUGUUUCAGAUAGCUAUGCGUUAUGCUAUGCUAUUUACUUAUUUUUUAUUUAAAAGCAAGCUUUAGCAUUUGUUCUCAUCCCUACCUACUUUCUUCUUCACAUGUUUUUAGUUCUCAUGCAGUUUAACCCCUACCACUGGCACCUCUCAUGCUGCUGUACACCUGGGAAGGUGUAUGUACAGACUGAUGUCAGUGAAGCUGUUGGGGUGUUCAUGCUAUGUAUGCACUUCCUGCCUGCUGCUGAGAUACCAACAUGUUUAAGCAAGGUAUUUCACUGUGCUAGCUAAGAAUGCUCUGCUUUGGAUGAUCCAUUUUCCAUUGUCCUCAUUUUUCUUUCCUUAUCCAUUCACUCAGUUGCAAGAGGAACUUCCAGAUGGAAAGAAUCACAAAAAAAUAGGUAUUUGUUAACUACUUAACACCAAUUGAAGUUCAACAAAGGCAAAUGCAGAGUUCUUCACCUGGGGAAGAAUAACCCAAGGCACCAGCCCAGGCUGGGGGCUGAUCUAGGGAAAGCAUCUCUGUGGAGGACCUGGGUGUCCUAGUAGACAAACAGCUGUCCAUAAGCCAGCAGCGUGUCCUUGUAGCCAUGAAGGCCACUGGUAUCAUGGGUGCAUUAGGAAGAACAUGGACAGCAGGUCAAUAGACUCUCUGCUCAGUCCUGAUAAAGCAACAUCUGCAGUGCUUUUGUCCAGUUCUGGGCUCCUCAGUACAAGAGAGACAAGGAGCUCCUGGAGUCGAUCCAGUGGAGGGCAACAAAGAUGAUUUAGGGAGUGGUGCAUCUCUCAGAAGGAGAGGCUGAGGGAGCCAGGUCUAUUCAGCCUUGAGAAGAGAUGACAAAGAAGGAAACUCAUCAGUGUCUGAGUAUCUGAAGGGAGGGUGUGAAGAGGACAGAACCAGGUUCUGCUCAGUGAUGCCCAGCAGUAGGACAAGAGGCAACAGGCAGAAACUGAUGCACAGAAGUUCCACUUGAACAUGAGGAAGAACUGCUUUACUGUGCAGGUGAUUGAACACCAGAACAGAUUGCCCAGAGAGGUUCUGGAGUCUCCCUCACUGUAACCUUCUGCAUGUGCUCUAGGAUGGUUCUGCUUGAGCAGGGAAGCUGGACCACUGUGGUCCCUUCCAACUUGACCCAUUCUGUGAACACACAGAUAUUAACAACAUCAGGUUAAAUGUGAUGCCAGAUACCCCAUAACAAAACAUAGUAACAACAGCAGCCACUGGAGAAUUAAACCAGUGGAGCUGCUUCUAGUCUUGAUUGAACUAUACUGGGGUAUACCUUAAAAAUAACUAUACAGGUCUGUUCACAGCAGAAUAAGGAAACGUGGCUCAUGAUGGUAAUGAAAACAGUUUAGAGGCAACAGAGCUGUAAGAGGUAGUAUUUUCCCAUGUAAAGAGCAAUCAGCUCCUUGAUUCUCCUCUCCUUGGUUAAAAUAGUAAACUCCCCACCCCAACUUAGAAGUUAAUACCAGGGUUGCACAGUUAUUUUUGUGUCCUCAAUGAUUUUACACAGGUCUGUUCAUCAGGAAGCAAAGCAGAACACUGGAUCAGUCAAAUCCUGGGCAUUAACUUCACAGCUGCAUAAUGCAGUGACAAGCUGCUGUCUGUUCUCUGGGAGCAGGAUUCAAUCUUGCUUAAAGAACUGAAUGAAAGAAACGUAGCAAUUUCCUGAAACCUUGAAUGAAAUUUCUCCAUGACAUCUUGCUCUUUUUUGUUUUGUGGUAUUUGUCUGCCCACACUCAGGUGGGAAGUUGCAAUAACAAACCACAGCCUGUUUGAAGAGCCUGUGAACAGCAUGACCUUUAGCAGAGGGUGAACUCAGAGAGAUGAGAGUUUACAGUGUCCAGCACUGAUGUGUCUUAGUGCACGUUGUGCUUGGUUGGCUGUUGAGGGAAGGAGUCUUCCUAGUGACAUAAAUGUAAGUAAGGAUCCUUCCUAAAGUACCCAUCACACAUCAAUUACAGGGAACUUGCAGUUAGAAAUGAAAAUGAAAUUCUUGUGAUCUGCAUAUUUGCAAAGACAACUUGAUAUUGUACAGUUUUAAAUGCUUUCAUUUCUUUCCUGUCAAAGUUUGAGCUAGCUGCAUCCUACAGAAGUCAUGGUCAAGUUUCUACAGUUCAUAUCCAAAACUGAGUUAACAGCUUCAUCCUUGACAUUAUAGAUAGACACUACAGAGGCAAAGUAAACUGAACCUUUGUGUUUCUAUCCAUUGUGAACAGAGAACCAGUCACAGUGUGUUUGCACAUGUUCUGUGUUCAGCUGUAGGAGAGAACUAUAUUGCAUACAUAGAUCUUGGGGAGUAGCCUCUCCUGAAUACUCACCAGAUCCUAUAAGAGCACAGAUCAGCACCAUGGAGUUGUAUUUUAUUUCUGGAGCACUCCUGUCAUCUGAGAGCAGUCUGUGUAGAAUCUGAACAAGCUGAGCAUUUUCAAGAUCCUUUUCAGCAGUGACUGAAACACAAGUGAAAAUUUUAAGUCUGGAAGUGCCACUUGCUUUGAUGCUUCUAUGUGUUAUCCCUUUAUUGAAACAUGAUCUCUCACCAGAGUGAAAGUGAGGCUGUGGUACAUAACUCAUUGGUAUAAAACUCAAGCACAUAUUUGAUAGUAUGAUGGCAAGAAUCACAGGUUUUGCUAUAAAAAUGUGACGUUGUCUAACUGCUUGAAAGGACAGUCACAGAGUUUAAUGAUGAAAUCCAGUCUUAAUGUUCUGUAGGCUGAUGGAAAAGCCAUGAGGCUUUCCAGCCAUUUAGGCCAACACCUGAAAUAUUUCAGCUUUCAACACAUCCAUUGGCUGAAUUUGCUUUUGGAAAUUCUGUCUGAGUAAAUAUAGAUUGCGUAGUUCUUGAUUCAAUGGUAGAGGGAGCUCAGGGUCCAUUAUAAAGCCUGUGGAAAACUUUUCAAGAUGUCCAUUUGAGUUACUGCCUCUGUAGUUUUCUAAGAUACAUGUAUUGAAUUCGGGCUCAACCUUUAAAUGCCUGAAGACAAGACAAAGAGAUGAUUCAUGUGAAUAGGAACAUCUUUCCUUUUAUUUAAAACAAUUCCUUGAGGUAUUGGCAGUGAUUCGAAAGUCGAACAGAGCAUUCCCAUAGUACACAAUGGCAAGAGAUGAAAUCAAGAACAAAAAUAUGUAAGGUUGUUUGUUUAGUUCCUUAGUUAAAAAGUAAGUAAACAGGAUAAACAAACCUCUGUUGAACAUUUACUUUCCUGUUUCAAAAUUAGAGGUACUAUAAACACAGGUCAAGACAUGUAAUCAUGUCUGCCUUCAUAUGGCAAUUCUUGCACUUAAUCUUGGGUAUUUUAAUGAAGACAUGUUGGGGGCAUUAACCACCUCCAUGUAUUUUCUAGUUCUCACUUAUUAGGUAAGUGCACUCUUCACUUUGAAAAGCUUUCUCAAAAGUGGAUUAACAUUCCAGUGUAGGAAUGUGGUCAGGUCAUAUAGUCUCUAGUCUAAGGUAUGUUUGCUUUCUGAGUUUUACCCCAAAUCUGAAAGUUAAACUGGAGGGCCUUUCUAGAUCUCUCCACCACCUACUGGAAUGAUGGAGUAGAUCCCGUGUAACCAGCACUCUCCAGUUUCCUGCAUAACAUGAUGGCUUGCCCAUGUCUGCAUGAACCACCACGGUAAUACGGAAAGGCAGGUGGAAGGAGGAGGCUAUUCUACAUUGCAUUCUCCCUCUAUGGCUUCUCUUGGGCACAGACUGGAAAGGAGACAAAUGAAGUGAACUCCUGGGAUACUCACCUAACUCUAGAGCUGCUAUCAAUGCCAGUGCAACGAGAGCUUCAUUUUGCAUUAUUACGUGUUCGCUGGUCGCCAUGGUUACUAAAUGCUUGAUGCCACCACUCUGUACAAUGGUCCUAAUUACAUCCUAAAAUAAAUAAUGCAAAGAUAACAAAAUUCUGCACUGCAUACAAACUAUAUUAAAUAAGGAAACAGUCAGGAAUAGUGUGUUAUCUUUGGGUAAGGGUACUUGUUGGUUUUGUGCACACAGAAUCACUUUAUAUAUCAAUGUACAGACAUGCAGGCCUACAUAUUAUCUGUUACUGCUCUGCAAUUGCAAGGUACAGGGUGUUAAACCAAGGAAGGUAACCCCAUAACUAAGUUAAGACACACAUAAUGAACUCUUUUCCAGGUUAUACAGUGUAACUCAAGUUCUCAUGCUGUGCCAUCAAUCAUCAAAUAAUUAGGGGUUCAAAGUAUCCAACAAAAUAUAUACUUGGGGUAAGGAAACACACAAACAUAGUUAUAAUAAAGUUAUUAAAUGCUUCAUUUCCAUGAAUUUUCAGUUUCUUCAAAAUGUUCAGAGAGGUGAGAUCACAAAUAUGACACCUUAUUAUGUAACACAAAUGGUGUACUUGAAAAACUGUGUAGACAUAUGACAGGAAAAUGAGCAGUGGUAUCCUAUUAUGGAAUUUUUCUUCAAAUAUAAAGGCGGUAAGGAAAAGGUAUGUAUGGGAUACCAAUGUGUUGGUUUCUGUUCUAAAGUCAGCUGUUAAAAUGAACUGUUGUAAAGUACUGCUGCCUAGUAUCUAGGAACUUAAAAUGUACUUUAACUGGGUUAAAUGUGUCUAAAGUAGAUAAAAAAUACACAACUAGGAUACUGUUUUCAAGUCCAAAAUUUGAUCCAACUUACGUGACAAGAGAUAAAGAUUAUAGUAGACUAAUACUCUACAGGUUCUAGUUAUAAUUUCAAAAAUGGUUGUGCACCUCAUGUUUUCGCCAUUUUAUAUCCCAGAAAUACUUGCAAAAUGUUUGUCUGAAAAAUCAGGUGACUUGGCACACUGAAAGGAAACUGUUCAAGGAAAUGUGGAUUGGUUUUUUUAUUAUUUUUAUUUGUCCUGUGAGUGCACAAAGGUUUCAAAUAGCAUUUAUUUCUUGAAACAAUAUGAUUUAAAAUUUUUCAUCUAUAUCUUAAAUUUCUAUUUAAAACACAUCCCCCUUUCUUACACCAGCCACAAGCCAAAAUAGUGAGAUGUAUAGUCUCACUACUGUGAGACUAUAACAUAAAAAAAAAAAAAAUCUAAACAAACCAUCUCUAAUACUUUCAGUUCCAACCUCAUUAAAGAAAAACCCCAAAAACACAAAAACCAACAUGCCAAAGUAAUUUUCAGACUGAGACAAUCUGGAACUGCUAAGUUCUAUUUGAAUUAGUGUGGAAUUUUGGGUAUGUAAGUCUUAAGAACCAAUCAGCAUCUUUGACAUCAAAUUUUUUUAUAUUGUAGGUGAACAUCACCUUUUAAAAGGCAGUACCAAAUAGAUGACAGCCAUGAUGUUUGGUGCUAGUGUGGCUGAAAUCAAAGGUACCUACUCCAGUUUUGUAGAAUGACUAAAACUAACUGUUGCCUUUGUAUAUAUUACACCAAAGCAUUUAAAAUUAAAAGCCAAAUUCAAACCUGAUGUUAAGAGCCAUUCAGCUGUACUCAUAUUCAAACCUAGAGGGCAGCAAAAGCUUAAAAAACCCCCACCCUCUCAGCUCUGUUAUCUUCUUCAUGUUAAAUUUCCUCUGUGAGUACACGCACCCCACAAAAACUAGUUAACCUCUGAUAAUGCUGUUAAUUUCUGCCUUAAAAUAUCUAUUUGAUGUCAUCUGUAGUGUAUCCAUAUUAGAAUUUAAUUCUGUUGUCCUAUAGAAAAUAUUUAUUAAGUCUCACAUCUGUGGUGGUGUUUGCCAUCCAUGCAUGCAUGUUGGAGACUUUGGGGAGGGGGGCAGAAGAAGUGAGAACCAGAAAAAUGAACCCUCAUCAGUUUUAGAGGCUGAACAUAAAAUGGAGAAAGGGUAUUAGACAGAGACAGUGAUAUUAGCAAUCAGCAAAGAUUUAAAUCCCUGUGAGGCCUGUUGAUUUAUUCUUGGAGACACUCAGUACACAUCAGGCCCCUACUAUAUUUUUCACUUCAUAAAUGCCAUGGAUGAAUGAAGCGGUCAGUGUACAGUCCAAGCUCUCCAAAUCACACUUGCUAUUUAAGUUCAGUAAUGCAGCCUGUGUUCAUAGCAGUGAACAUGCUAAAGGAAGUCUGAGCCUGAAAUAGUCUGUCUCCAGAGAUGUUUGGAAGACUGCUUUGUCUAAUACUCAGCUGAACAAGAAUGAUGGACUUGGACUGCUUAGGUAAAGAUAUUUGAUUGAUGUAAAGGUGAUGGGAGGGGAAGAUGAAUUUUUCCUGAUGUUACUUUGUGCCAUAUACAAGCAAGUUUUUGUUAGAAUUUGGAAUAAAUUAUAAUUUCAAACGAUCCAUGACAAUCUUAAAACUCUGAAAUAUGCUGUAUGAAGAGUAGGCAGACAGACUAUUCCUGGAUCUCAGUUUUAUAUAAACAUAUAGCAAGAUCCUAACAACUGAGUUCACUGAUUUUUCAUAUAUAGCUUUAUAUAUCAUUAAAACAUAGAAAAUACAGCAUGCUGAACUUCUGCAGGAUACAUUUAAAAUAAAAAUAAGUCAAGCCUUGGGCAGAGGUGAUGUAACACAUGAAUACCCAAGCUGGCUCACUAGAAGGAUUGCAUGGUGGAGGGCUGGUUACCAACAGCAAGCGCACAGGUAACUAACUCUUGGUUCUGACAAACUGACCUUUUUCUCCACUAACUUACUUUUGAUUUGCUGUGUCGUAUAAGUGCAGAAAGUAGUCUGUUGGACUCUCCCAUCACACCUGCGUGAUCCUUGGCUUCACACCACUCCACCAA